CCUACGGGAGGCUGCAGUGAGGAAUAUUGGUCAAUGGACGAGAGUCUGAACCAGCCAAGUAGCGUGAAGGAUGACGGCCCUAUGGGUGGUAAACUUCAUUUAUAUGGGAAUAAAAUGUGCCACGUGAGGGAUUUUGUAUGUACCAUAUGAAUAAGGAUCGGCUAACUCCGUGCCAGCAGCCGCGGUAAUACGGAGGAUCCGGGCGUUAUCCGGAUUUAGUGGGGUGAAAGGGAGCGUAGGGGGAUUGUUAAGUCAGUGGUGAAAGUUUGCGGCUAAACCGUAAACUUGCAGUUGAAACGUGCAGUCUUGAUUCCAGUAGCGUUGGGCGGCCUUCGUGGUGUAGCGGUGACAUUCUUCGAUUUCACG
rnacentral:rRNA from 1 species